rnacentral:tRNA from 1 species
UGGAUCACCUCCUAACAGGGAGACAACAAAAUGUUUAAUAUUAUUAUUUUGUCACCUUAGGUCGAUCGGUAUCUCACGUUCUUAUUUAAUUAAGAAUUUCAUUUCCUAAGUUUUUCUAGGUCACACCCAUUAUUUUUCCUGGGCCAUUAGCUCAGGUGGUUAGAGCGCACCCCUGAUAAGGGUGAGGUCCCUGGUUCAAGUCCAGGAUGGCCCAUAUCUCUAUGUUGGGGGUAUAGCUCAGUUGGUAGAGCGCCUGCUUUGCGAGCAGGAUGUCAGCGGUUCGAGUCCGCUUACCUCCACUGAUUACCACCUCUUCCAUAAUCUGUAGAAAGGAAAUUUUUUGAGUUGUGAUCAAAUUCUGAACGAAUCUAGCUUCCUAAUGAAAUCAUUAAGAUGCUGGACUCAUUGAAUUAAUUUCAUUGUUUUCAGAGAACCUUGACAACUGCAUAGAUUAUUUUAAAGACAAUUAGCAUCUUUAAUGAUGCAGAUUUAUUAUUUGUGCGAAUGCAUUAAUAACAAUUCUAUUAAGCUGAUGCUUCAAUUUUGAAGUUAUUGGUCAAGCUACAAAGGGCUCACGGAGGAUACCUAGGCACACAGAGGCGAUGAAGG